rnacentral:rRNA from 1 species
AUUGAACGCUGGCGGAAUGCUUUACACAUGCAAGUCGAACGGUAGAGGGGGCACCCCCUCGAGAGUGGCGAACGGGUGAGUAAUAUAUCGGAACGUGCCCAGUCGUGGGGGAUAACGUAUCGAAAGUUACGCUAAUACCGCAUACGAUCUACGGAGGAAAGCGGGGGCUCGCAAGACCUCGCGCGAUUUGAGCGGCCGAUAUCAGAUUAGGUAGUUGGUGGGGUAAAGGCUCACCAAGCCAACGAUCUGUAGCUGGUCUGAGAGGACGACCAGCCACACUGGAACUGAGACACGGUCCAGACUCCUACGGGAGGCAGCAGUGGGGAAUUUUGGACAAUGGACGCAAGUCUGAUCCAGCCAUUCCGCGUGCAGGAUGAAGGCCCUCGGGUUGUAAACUGCUUUUGUACGGAACGAAAAGGUUUCCAUUAAUACUGGGAGCUCAUGACGGUACCGUAAGAAUAAGCACCGGCUAACUACGUGCCAGCAGCCGCAGUAA